UGAGACAGUCGUGAUCAACACAGCAACGUGGUUCUGGUACGAGCUCGUACAACUGGUCAGCAUUUCCAACUGCAUCUUACUCGGCUCAAUACCAUGGUCGAUAGGUUUUCCUUUGCCGCAAAUGCCGCAUGACAGCAGAGUUUGUAAUCUUCGUGCUUUUUAUGCCUCAAUAUGUCGUCCAUGUCGACUAUUAGCUGCAAAUCGUUCCGCGUUCUUUUUACAUACACUUCCUGCGCCACAAUUCCUAGAGAGGUUCUGUGCGUGUGAAGAUCUAUGUACGCACGUCUAUGAAGACUACACGCGAGAGCUAGCGCAGAAAAAAGCCCAAAGCGAGAGAAAUAGAGGAAGGUGAUCGAUCAAAAGUUUGCUCGCCUCCAGCAAUUCAAUGACGAGGUGUUCCUUGAGAAUUCAACAGGUCACCACAUUUUGUAUGAACCAUUCCCCCCUCGCUUGAACGGACCUUGUUUACGAUACUGUCGACAUUCAACCGUCACCUAAUAUACACGAACGAACCGACCAUCCGUCGGUUACUUCUUUGUUGGUCACGCUCACCACCCAACAUAUCUGAAGCGUGUUUCGCUAGUCUGAUGAUGUAAACCGGAUUCUGGCUUGGACCUAUGAGUAUACAGCCCAUUCACUGUCGUUGACAACGCUGCUAACUCAUAUGUGCUGGUGGGAAGCUUAACGACGCCGAUAUCACCCGGUAUGGAGAUCUAGAUGUAAUAGUGUCGUUGUCAAAGUUGAGUGCAGCAAACGUUGCACGACGCGUAGUCAGGAAAACUAGAAAGAUUCCACGGUUCACCACGAUUCUUAUAUGACGACAGCAAGAGCGAGGGUUUAUUUUAGUUUCCCUUUGCGUAUAAUCUUAUAUUUACAAUUUUCUAUAAUUAUCAGUGUGUCUUUUGAAAGUUGAAAAAUUCGGCAAAGCACUUGAAGUGUAAGUGCUUUGCCGAACGAAGUUCUAUUGACCAAGGUAAUAUGGU